GCGGACGGGUGAGUAAUGUCUGGGAAACUGCCUGAUGGAGGGGGAUAACUACUGGAAACGGUAGCUAAUACCGCAUAACGUCGCAAGACCAAAGAGGGGGGACCUUCGGGCCUCUUGCCAUCGGAUGUGCCCAGAUGGGAUUAGCUAGUAGGUGGGGUAACGGCUCACCUAGGCGACGAUCCCUAGCUGGUCUGAGAGGAUGACCAGCCACACUGGAACUGAGACACGGUCCAGACUCCUACGGGAGGCAGCAUG
rnacentral:rRNA from 1 species